rnacentral:rRNA from 1 species
UACGAAGGGGGCUAGCGUUGCUCGGAAUCACUGGGCGUAAAGGGUGCGUAGGCGGGUCUUUAAGUCAGGGGUGAAAUCCUGGAGCUCAACUCCAGAACUGCCUUUGAUACUGAGGAUCUUGAGUUCGGGAGAGGUGAGUGGAACUGCGAGUGUAGAGGGUGAAAUUCGUAGAUAUUCGCAAGAACACCAGUGGCGAAGGCGGCUCACUGGCCCGAUACUGACGCUGAUGCACGAAAGCGUGGGAGCAAACAGG